rnacentral:rRNA from 1 species
CCUACGGGCGGCUGCAGUGGGGAAUAUUGCACAAUGGGCGCAAGCCUGAUGCAGCCAUGCCGCGUGUGUGAAGAAGGCCUUCGGGUUGUAAAGCACUUUCAGCGGGGAGGAAGGCGUUAAGGUUAAUAACCUUGGCGAUUGACGUUACCCCCAGAAGAAGCACCGGCUAACUCCGUGCCAGCAGCCGCGGUAAUACGGAGGGUGCAAGCGUUAAUCGGAAUUACUGGGCGUAAAGCGCACGCAGGCGGUCUGUCAAGUCGGAUGUGAAAUCCCCGGGCUCAACCUGGGAACUGCAUUCGAAACUGGCAGGCUAGAGUCUUGUAGAGGGGGGUAGAAUUCCAGGUGUAGCGGUGAAAUGCGUAGAGAUCUGGAGGAAUACCGGUGGCGAAGGCGGCCCCCUGGACAAAGACUGACGCUCAGGUGCGAAAGCGUGGGGAGCAAACAGGAUUAGAUACCCCUGUAGUC